rnacentral:sRNA from 1 species
AGGAUUGAGGAGUUGGAAAAGACCUUUAGAACAGCUGGUCCUUAUGCCGACUGGGUGCCCACACUAAGUUCGGCAUCAAUAUGGUGACCACCUGGGAGCGGGGUCCACCAAGUUGCCUAAGGAUGGCUGAACUGGCCCAGGUCAGAAAGGGAGCAGGUCAGAACUCCCACACCAACCAGUAGUGGGACUGUGCCUGGGCAGCAUAGCAAGAUCUUGGUUCUUU